rnacentral:rRNA from 1 species
AGAGUUUGAUCCUGGCUCAGGAUGAACGCUGGCGGCGUGCCUAAUACAUGCAAGUCGAACGAAACUUCUUUAUCACCGAGUGCUUGCACUCACCGAUAAAGAGUUGAGUGGCGAACGGGUGAGUAACACGUGGGCAACCUUCCCAAAAGAGGGGGAUAACACUUGGAAACAGGUGCUAAUACCGCAUAACCAUGGUUACCGCAUGGUAACUAUGUAAAAGGUGGCUAUGCUACCGCUUUUGGAUGGGCCCGCGGCGCAUUAGCUAGUUGGUGAGGUAAAGGCUUACCAAGGCAAUGAUGCGUAGCCGAACUGAGAGGUUGAUCGGCCACAUUGGGACUGAGACACGGCCCAAACUCCUACGGGAGGCAGCAGUAGGGAAUCUUCCACAAUGGGCGAAAGCCUGAUGGAGCAACGCCGCGUGGGUGAAGAAGGUCUUCGGAUCGUAAAACCCUGUUGUUAGAGAAGAAAGUGCGUGAGAGUAACUGUUCACGUUUCGACGGUAUCUAACCAGAAAGCCACGGCUAACUACGUGCCAGCAGCCGCGGUAAUACGUAGGUGGCGAGCGUUAUCCGGAAUGAUUGGGCGUAAAGGGUGCGCAGGCGGUCCUACAAGUCUGGAGUGAAAGCCCGGGGCCCAACCCCGGGACUGCUCUGGAAACUGCGUCGCUGGAGUACGGGAGGGGCAGGCGGAAUUCCUGGUGUAGCGGUGAAAUGCGUAGAUAUCAGGAGGAACACCAGUGGCGAAGGCGACGAUCUGGCCUGCAACUGACGCUCAGUCCCGAAAGCGUGGGGAGCAAAUAGGAUUAGAUACCCUAGUAGUCCACGCCGUAAACGAUGAGUACUAAGUGUUGGAAGUCAAAUUUCAGUGCUGCAGUUAACGCAGUAAGUACUCCGCCUGAGUAGUACGUUCGCAAGAAUGAAACUCAAAGGAAUUGACGGGGGCCAGCACAAGCGGUGGAGCAUGUGGUUUAAUUCGAAGCAACGCGAAGAACCUUACCAGGUCUUGACAUACUCAUAAAGGAUCCAGAGAUGGAUAGAUAGUUAUAUGAGAUACAGGUGGUGCAUGGUUGUCGUCAGCUCGUGUCGUGAGAUGUUGGGUUAAGUCCCGCAACGAGCGCAACCCUUAUUGUUAGUUGCUACGCAAGAGCACUCUAGCGAGACUGCCGUUGACAAAACGGAGGAAGGUGGGGACGACGUCAAAUCAUCAUGCCCCUUAUGUCCUGGGCCACACACGUACUACAAUGGUGGUCAACAGAGGGAAGCAAAACCGCGAGGUGGAGCAAAUCCCUAAAAGCCAUCCCAGUUCGGAUCGCAGGCUGCAACCCGCCUGCGUGAAGUUGGAAUCGCUAGUAAUCGCGGAUCAGCAUGCCGCGGUGAAUACGUUCCCGGGCCUUGCACACACCGCCCGUCA